rnacentral:rRNA from 1 species
UGGCGGACGGGUGAGUAACGCGUGGGUAACCUGCCUCAUACAGGGGGAUAACAGUUAGAAAUGACUGCUAAUACCGCAUAAGACCACAGCACCGCAUGGUGCAGGGGUAAAAACUCCGGUGGUAUGAGAUGGACCCGCGUCUGAUUAGGUAGUUGGUGGGGUAACGGCCUACCAAGCCGACGAUCAGUAGCCGACCUGAGAGGGUGACCGGCUACAUUGGGACUGAGACACGGCCCAA